rnacentral:rRNA from 1 species
AACGAACGCUGGCGGCAGGCUUAACACAUGCAAGUCGAACGAUGUAGCAGUACAUAGUGGCGCACGGGUGAGUAACGCGUGGGAAUGUACCUUUUAGUGGGGGAUAACUCCGGGAAACUGGAGCUAAUACCGCAUACGCCCCUCGGGGGAGAGAUUUAUCGCUAAAAGAUCAGCCCGCGUGAGAUUAUGGUAGUUGGUGAGGUAAUGGCUCGCCAAGCCGACGAUCUCUAGCUGGUCUGAGAGGACGACCAGCCACACUGGAACUGAGACACGGUCCAGACUCCUACGGGAGGCAGCAGUGGGGAAUAUUGGGCAAUGGAGGCAACUCUGACCCAGCCAUGCCGCGUGAGUGAUGAAGGCUCUAGGGUUGUAAAGCUCUUUCGCCGAUGAAGAUAAUGACGGUAGUCGGAGAAGAAGCCCCGGCUAACUUCGUGCCAGCCGCCGCAGUAA